UAACACGUGAGCAACCUGCCUUUCAGAGGGGGAGUAACAGUUGGAAACGACUGCUAAUACCGCAUAACGCUGCGAUGGGGCAUCCCGAUGCAGCCAAAGGAGCAAUCCGCUGGAAGAUGGGCUCGCGGCCGAUUAGCUAGUUGGUGGGGCAACGGCCCACCAAGGCGACGAUCGGUAGCCGGACUGAGAGGUUGAUCGGCCACAUUGGGACUGAGACACGGCCCAGACUCCUACGGAAGGCAGCAG
rnacentral:rRNA from 1 species